rnacentral:tRNA from 1 species
UGGCUCAGUGGUAGAGUGCUUGCCUUACAUGCAUGAGGGUCUGGGUUCAAUUCCUCAG